AAAAGGUGGCUAUGCUACCGCUUUUGGAUGGGCCCGCGGCGCAUUAGCUAGUUGGUGGGGUAAAGGCUUACCAAGGCAAUGAUGCGUAGCCGAACUGAGAGGUUGAUCGGCCACAUUGGGGCUGAGACACGGCCCAAACUCCUACGGGAGGCAGCAGUAGGGAAUCUUCCACAAUGGGCGAAAGCCUGAUGGAGCAACGCCGCGUGGGUGAAGAAGGUCUUCGGAUCGUAAAACCCUGUUGUUAGAGAAGAAAGUGCGUGAGAGUAACUGUUCACGUUUCGACGGUAUCUAACCAGAAAGCCACGGCUAACUACGUGCCAGCAGCCGCGGUAAUACGUAGGUGGCAAGCGUUAUCCGGAUUUAUUGGGCGUAAAGGGAACGCCGGCGGUCUUUUAAGUCUGAUGUGAAAGCCUUCGGCUUAACCGGAGUAGUGCAUUGGAAACUGGGAGACUUGAGUGCAGAAGAGGAGAGUGGAACUCCAUGUGUAGCGGUGAAAUGCGUAGAUAUAUGGAAGAACACCAGUGGCGAAAGCGGCUCUCUGGUCUGUAACUGACGCUGAGGUUCGAAAGCGUGGGUAGCAAACAGGAUUAGAUACCCUGGUAGUCCACGCCGUAAACGAUGAAUGCUAAGUGUUGGAGGGUUUCCGCCCUUCA
rnacentral:rRNA from 1 species